UACGGAGGGGGCUAGCGUUGUUCGGAAUUACUGGGCGUAAAGCGCACGUAGGCGGCUUUGCAAGUCAGAGGUGAAAGCCCGGGGCUCAACCCCGGAAUUGCCUUUGAGACUGCAUCGCUAGAAUUGUAGAGAGGUAAGUGGAAUUCCGAGUGUAGAGGUGAAAUUCGUAGAUAUUCGGAAGAACACCAGUGGCGAAGGCGACUUCCUGGCCUGUUCUUGACGCUGAGGCGCGAAAGCUAGGGGAGCAAACGGG
rnacentral:rRNA from 1 species